GCUAUACAUGCAGUCGAGCGGACAGAAGGGAGCUUGCUCCCGGAUGUUAGCGGCGGACGGGUGAGUAACACGUGGGUAACCUGCCUGUAAGACUGGGAUAACUCCGGGAAACCGGAGCUAAUACCGGAUAGUUCCUUGAACCGCAUGGUUCAAGGAUGAAAGACGGUUUCGGCUGUCACUUACAGAUGGACCCGCGGCGCAUUAGCUAGUUGGUGGGGUAAUGGCUCACCAAGGCGACGAUGCGUAGCCGACCUGAGAGGGUGAUCGGCCACACUGGGACUGAGACACGGCCCAGACUCCUACGGGAGGCAGCAGUAGGGAAUCUUCCGCAAUGGACGAAAGUCUGACGGAGCAACGCCGCGUGAGUGAUGAAGGUUUUCGGAUCGUAAAGCUCUGUUGUUAGGGAAGAACAAGUGCGAGAGUAACUGCUCGCACCUUGACGGUACCUAACCAGAAAGCCACGGCUAACUACGUGCCAGCAGCCGCGGUAAUACGUAGGUGGCAAGCGUUGUCCGGAAUUAUUGGGCGUAAAGGGCUCGCAGGCGGUUUCUUAAGUCUGAUGUGAAAGCCCCCGGCUCAACCGGGGAGGGUCAUUGGAAACUGGGAAACUUGAGUGCAGAAGAGGAGAGUGGAAUUCCACGUGUAGCGGUGAAAUGCGUAGAGAUGUGGAGGAACACCAGUGGCGAAGGCGACUCUCUGGUCUGUAACUGACGCUGAGGAGCGAAAGCGUGGGGAGCGAACAGGAUUAGAUACCCUGGUAGUCCACGCCGUAAACGAUGAGUGCUAAGUGUUA
rnacentral:rRNA from 1 species